rnacentral:rRNA from 1 species
GACGAACGCUGGCGGCGUGCCUAACACAUGCAAGUCGAGCGGUGAAGCCCGGUACUUGUACCAACCGGAUGAGGAGCGAACGGGUGAGUAACGCGUGGGGCAUCUGCCUUUGAUCGGGGGACAACAAGGGGAAUCGAAUGCUAAUCGCGCAUAAAAACCUUAAACACAAGUUGUAAGUGUGAAAGAUGCAGUUGCAUCACUGAAACAUGACCUCUCGGUGUAUUAGUUAGUUGGUGAGGUACAGGCGCACGAAGGCGAUGAUACAUAGCCGACCUGACAGGGCGGUUGGCCAGCUUGAGACUGAGACAGGGCCCAAGCGCCUACGGGAAGCAGCAGUAGGGAAUCUUCGGGAAUGGAUGGGAGUCUGGGCGAGCAACGCCGCAGGAGUGUAGAAGGGUGUCGGGUCGUAGAUCUCGGUUUGUAGGGAAGAACGUUCUUGAGAGUGGAAAGCUCAGGAAGUGACGGUAACUACUCAAGAAGCAACGGCUAACUACGUG